GAGAAAGAACUUAAGGAGUAUUCAGCUUUAAAAACUUCCAAGAUUGGAGAAGAACUGGAUGAUGAUGACGUAGAUGAGGAGCUAUCGAGUGAUGAGGAGGAGAACAGUUCCAGCACUGCCAGUGAUUCAGCAGGAGAUAGUGAUAGUGGUGUCAGUGAAGAAGAUGAAGACUAAAUAUUAAAGAAAACAUACAAUUGUACAAAUUUAUUUAGAUUUAAAAUUGUUAGUAUUUUUGUAAGUUUAAAAAGCUGUAUAUUUGUAAUUUAUUUUUGUAAUAAAAUUAGUAUAGUCAAUUCUAGUGAUUUUUUUUUUAAUUUUGCAAUUUAACUGGAUUUUUUAUAUGUUAAACACACUGAUCUAUCCUUGUGACUAUCAGUAUGAUUUUAUCAAUGACAGAACUUAUAUAACUGGAAAUUAUUUACAGAUGUCGGAAUAUAAGUUUAUUAAAUCAUAAAUCGAGUCAAGUAACUAUCAAACUCUCCUCUCCGCUCAAUGAACUCUAUUGUGUUUUAAUGACAAAGUAUGAAUUAGUAGAGUACAAUAUUCAUACUUUAACCACUUUAUUACAUGCUGAAAUACUAGAUUUCAUGUUUUUAUCAUGAGAAAUAAAGGAAAUGUGAGAGUUUGUUAGUAUAUCCAUGCAGUGAGAGUGAGAGCAUUGUCUCAACAAUGAAGCAAACUUGAUUUUAAAACAAGUUGGAUUGAGUGUGCAAAGUUUCAAUCCAAGUGAGCUUUGAUAAAACCCACUCUAAUAAUCUCAAGUAUCAAAUUAAUUAAAGGUAUUGACGUACAAUAUUUUGUUUGUGUUUUACUGUCAUUGUGUAGGCAGAUUAAAGUAUACUCAUACAAAGUAAAAGAGGGUUUAUAAAUUGUAUGAUUUAAACUUUAUAGCUUUCUAUUGUAAAAAAUGUACCAACCAAACCUGUUGGCUCAAUAUUAAAUAUGUAAGGAAUUGUUUGGAUUUCAUUGUAUUCCAAGUCCUUUAAAAGAAUAUUUUAAAUGAGAAAGAAAGAUAAUUAGUUGAACAACAUCCAGCAAUUAUAACGAUAUAAUGAAACCCCUCUUCUCCAGGACAGAGAAGCCAAGGAAUAAAAGCACCCAAAACUUAAUUUGAUUAAAUUUAGUGUAAAGUUAAAUUAAAUAAUUAAUGUUAAGAAUUCUGUUAGAAUCAUUAAAUAUUGUUUAUAUUACAA